UUACUCUUCGGAGUGAGAGCGUACACAGGUGCUGCAUGGCUGUCGUCAGCUCGUGUCGUGAGAUGUUGGGUAAGUCCCGCAACGAGCGCAACCCUGCAUUCAGUUGCCAUCGGUAAGGCCGGGCACUCUGGAUGGACUGCCGGCGACAAGCCGGAGGAAGUGGGGACGACGUCAAGUCAUCAUGGCCCUUAUGUCCAGGGCGACACACGUGCUACAAUGGCCGGCACAACGGGAAGCGAAGGGGCGACCCUGAGCGGAUCCCACAAAAGCCGGUCUCAGUUCGGAUUGCAGUCUGCAACUCGACUGCAUGAAGUUGGAAUCGCUAGUAAUCGUGGAUCAGCCAAGCCGCGGUGAAUACGUUCCCGGGCCUU
rnacentral:rRNA from 1 species